UGGGGGAUAUUGCACAAUGGAGGAAACUCUGAUGCAGCAAUGCCGCGUGAGGGAAGAAGGUCUUCGGAUUGUAAACCUAAGUAGACAGGGACGAUAAUGACGGUACCUGUAAAGUAAGCUCCGGCUAACUACGUGCCAGCAGCCGCGGUAAUACGUAGGGAGCGAGCGUUGUCCGGAAUUACUGGGUGUAAAGGGUGCGUAGGCGGGUCUGCAAGUCAGGUGUGAAAAUCCCGGGGCUUAACUCCGGAGCUACACUUGAAACUGUGGAUCUUGAGUGAAGUAGAGGCAAGCGGAAUUCCUAGUGUAGCGGUGAAAUGCGUAGAUAUUAGGAGGAACACCAGUGGCGAAGGCGGCUUGCUGGGCUUUAACUGACGCUGAGGCACGAAAGCAUGGGGA
rnacentral:rRNA from 1 species